UUCUACGACCGUUCGCCCCUGAACAAGCCUGGUCCCAUCUGAUCUUGGAAGCUAAGCAAGGUCGUGCCCCAUUAGUACUUGGAUGGGACACCACCUAGGAAGACUAGGUGCUGUAGGAA
rnacentral:rRNA from 1 species